rnacentral:rRNA from 1 species
UAUCCGGAUUUAUUGGGCGUAAAGGGCUCGUAGGCGGCUCGUCGCGUCCGGUGUGAAAGUCCAUCGCUUAACGGUGGAUCUGCGCCGGGUACGGGCGGGCUGGAGUGCGGUAGGGGAGACUGGAAUUCCCGGUGUAACGGUGGAAUGUGUAGAUAUCGGGAAGAACACCGAUGGCGAAGGCAGGUCUCUGGGCCGUCACUGACGCUGAGGAGCGAAAGCGUGGGGAGCGAACAGGAUUAGAUACCCUGGUAGUCCACGCCGUAAACGGUGGACGCUGGAUGUGGGGCACGUUCCACGUGUUCCGUGUCGGAGCUAACGCGUUAAGCGUCCCGCCUGGGGAGUACGGCCGCAAGGCUAAAACUCAAAGAAAUUGACGGGGGCCCGCACAAGCGGCGGAGCAUGCGGAUUAAUUCGAUGCAACGCGAAGAACCUUACCUGGGCUUGACAUGUUCCCGACGACGCCAGAGAUGGCGUUUCCCUUCGGGGCGGGUUCACAGGUGGUGCAUGGUCGUCGUCAGCUCGUGUCGUGAGAUGUUGGGUUAAGUCCCGCAACGAGCGCAACCCUCGCCCCGUGUUGCCAGCACGUUAUGGUGGG